GAAAAAUGCUUGUACAAUGGGGAGCCCUGCAAGGUGCUUGCAAGAGCAUCUAACCCAAAUCCAACCUUUUGCAGUUUAAAUGUGGUUUUCUCCAGCAAGACAGAGCUCCUCUGGCUCUGCCGGUGCCUGUUCUGCUGCCUUUGGGCUACCUAAUGUUGGCAUAAGGAACUUGCACCAAUUCCAGAGUCUGCAGUGACAACAAAGAUGCUGAAUUUGAGACUGAGACUGAACAGACUGAGCUUGUACUGGAACCGCGUCAUUAAAGAACUGACAGCAAAGGGUAAAGGUCACAUUGAAGUUAAUGUCAGCAAAGGCUCAUCGAGGACAAUUUUCCAACAUUGAACAAAUUCUGACCUGCAAGUAGGGGAGACCUUGUUUCCAUGACACCGACUGAAGGGCCGUAUAAAGCACGUGGCUGCGGAGUCACUGGUGC